UACGUAGGGUGCGAGCGUUAAUCGGAAUUACUGGGCGUAAAGCGUGCGCAGGCGGUUUUGUAAGCCAGAUGUGAAAUCCCCGGGCUUAACCUGGGAAUGGCAUUUGGGACUGCAAGGCUAGAGUGUGGCAGAGGAGACUGGAAUUCCUGGUGUAGCAGUGAAAUGCGUAGAUAUCAGGAGGAAUACCGAUGGCGAAGGCAGGUCUCUGGGCUAACACUGACGCUCAUGCACGAAAGCGUGGGGAGCGAACAGG
rnacentral:rRNA from 1 species